rnacentral:rRNA from 1 species
UACGUAGGGUGCAAGCGUUGUCCGGAAUUAUUGGGCGUAAAGAGCUCGUAGGCGGUCUGUCGCGUCGGCUGUGAAAACUCGGGGCUCAACUCCGAGCUUGCAGUCGAUACGGGCAGGCUAGAGUUCGGCAGGGGAGACUGGAAUUCCUGGUGUAGCGGUGAAAUGCGCAGAUAUCAGGAGGAACACCGGUGGCGAAGGCGGGUCUCUGGGCCGAUACUGACGCUGAGGAGCGAAAGCGUGGGUAGCAAACAGG